rnacentral:rRNA from 1 species
GUUAAGCGACUAAGCGUACACGGUGGAUGCCCUGGCAGUCAGAGGCGAUGAAGGACGUGCUAAUCUGCGAUAAGCGUCGGUAAGGUGAUAUGAACCGUUAUAACCGGCGAUUUCCGAAUGGGGAAACCCAGUGUGUUUCGACACACUAUCAUUAACUGAAUCCAUAGGUUAAUGAGGCGAACCGGGGGAACUGAAACAUCUAAGUACCCCGAGGAAAAGAAAUCAACCGAGAUUCCCCCAGUAGCGGCGAGCGAACGGGGAGCAGCCCAGAGCCUGAAUCAGUGUGUGUGUUAGUGGAAGCGUCUGGAAAGGCGCGCGAUACAGGGUGACAGCCCCGUACACAAAAAUGCACAUGCUGUGAGCUCGAUGAGUAGGGCGGGACACGUGGUAUCCUGUCUGAAUAUGGGGGGACCAUCCUCCAAGGCUAAAUACUCCUGACUGACCGAUAGUGAACCAGUACCGUGAGGGAAAGGCGAAAAGAACCCCGGCGAGGGGAGUGAAAAAGAACCUGAAACCGUGUACGUACAAGCAGUGGGAGCACAGAGCAAUCUG